rnacentral:rRNA from 1 species
UACGUAGGGGGCAAGCGUUGUCCGGAUUUAUUGGGCGUAAAGGGCGCGUAGGCGGUUUCUUAAGUUUGAAGUGACAGUGGGUGGCUUAACUACCCAAGGCCUUUGAAAACUGGGGAACUUGAGGACCAGAGAGGGACAUAGAAUUCCGGGUGGAGUGGUGAAAUGCGUAGAUAUCCGGAGGAAUACCAAAGGCGAAGGCAGUGUCCUGGAGGGUGACUGACGCUGAGGCGCGAAAGCUAGGGGAGCGAACAGG